rnacentral:misc_RNA from 1 species
UCCGAGUUGACCCCGGCAGUCUCCUAUGAGUCCCCGCCAUAACGCGCUGGCAACAUAGAACGAGGGUUGCGCUCGUUGCGGGACUUAACCCAACAUCUCACGACACGAGCUGACGACAACCAUGCACCACCUGUGCAGGACCCUUGCGGACCUCCCAUCUCUGGGAGAUUUCCCUGCAUGUCAAGCCUUGGUAAGGUUCUUCGCGUUGCGUCGAAUUAAGCCACAUGCUCCGCUGCUUGUGCGGGCCCCCGUCAAUUCCUUUGAGUUUUAGCCUUGCGGCCGUACUCCCCAGGCGGGGUGCUUAAUGCGUUAGCUGCGGCACAGAUCGCGUGGAAUACGACCUACACCUAGCACCCACCGUUUACGGCGUGGACUAC